UAAUGCUCAAGCUUUCUCAGCAGUGCACUUGUUGCUGAAGAACUGGAACAAUGGAUCAGGACCCAGCUUCAAGAUCACAGCCUUCAACUGUACAGUGUUACAGUGCCACUGCUUGGCUCUCGUGCUCUCUCCCCUCGUAAUGCUGGCUAGACAUUUCCUUUACUGUGACGCUUAAUGAGAGUCUUGGUGUUGUAUUCUGAAACGCUUCCUGGUUGUUGAUUUGAUGCACGCCUCCUCCUUGUCUGUUGUGUAGACCAGGCACUGUUAAGCUCAUUUUUUGUCGUUGUGGAUAGUCCCUCGGUGAUUAAUUGGGCGUUUAGGGUGGGAGCGGGAGAGGGUGGAGAAGCUGACAAAACUCCACUUACGGUGAUGGUCUUGCAACAGUUAUGACUGCUGACACCAAUUGGAGCCGCGUUUAGGAACUGGAGCUAGUUUGUGCAGCCAGCAUUGCGAGCGAUCGGCUCCGACCGUUUGUCAUUUACUGGGUGUUGACGUUUGUGGAAACACUAGCACCACAGUCGAUUGGUUGGCAGUGUAAAGGCGUUAGGCUUCUGUGAGCUUGUUCAAGAUGUUUGCAGCUCUCAUUGAGCCUAAUGAAAAGGGCCUCUGCGAUUAUGGGUAUCGGUGUGUGAAGUUGCAAAUUGGUUAUUUCUACGUCCAAAUAAUUCCUUUUAUUUCGAGGGAUGGUUAUUAUCUUCACUGUUCGUGACAUAUUUAAGCAGGAGUGGAGUUCAUCAUACCUUGAAGGAUUUCAUCUGAAGCGUGAGGAUCGUUCAUGGUCAAAAGAUGCAUCUCAAAACGUUCCUCGCGGAUGAAAAUGAGGACACGAGGAAUCUUUUCUCACUCUUCAAGUGAAAGGCUUUAAUUUGAGUUUGCGACUUACAUUGCCGUGAAUAAUGAGAUUUGUGAGAAGCUCUCGGAUUGACCUCGCACUUCAACUACAUGUAAGAGUGGAUGGAGAACGAGGAAACUGAGAAUGAUACCUGAGUGGAAAGAGCUUGUUACAAACUGAGGAUUUUAAAAUUAAACGAGAAGGCGGAUGUUGGCUUUUCCGAAAAUGAGGGAGCCCACCGGGGUCCCCCAGUGACCACUGUAGGUUCCAUCCAUAAUUUUUGCGUCCUUACUUGGCGUAAACUAGUACCUAAAUUUAGUAAACAUACAUUUUGUUUGGA